CUCCAGGCCAAGGCUAUGUCUCUGUAUUGCCAAACAUGCUGAUGAGCGCUGUAACUCAGCCCAGAAUCACUAUGAAAACAAAUGUGAAAUACCUGGACGACCAGGCAUUUCCCAGCGCUCAUACUAUGUCACAGCUGCACGGGUGACUCCUGACACAGUGACUCUGUGGAAAUGUGUCUGAGCAUGCCAGGUCACUCGGAGGCCAGGACUAGGCUGAGCGGGCAGUGCUGAGGUCAGGCAGCAGCGCUGGUUUCGGAUGAGGUUCCCAACAUGAAGCGGUGCGCUGGAGCCCGAGCUCUCUGGGCCGGCGAACAGGCUGUUGAGGAGCGAGGUAGACAGCUACGCCCUUAGCACGCGCACCGGGAAGCUGCAGAGUGGACCAGGAAACCUGCCUUGAAGACGAGCUGCCUGUUCCUGAGAUGCGCUGCCUGUGAAGACACACAGGGAUGGCGAAAGGCUGUGAAGCACACUCAGGGCCUCACUGCUCUAUUGACGGGCUUGGAAACAGGAAGGCCCUGGCUGCGAUAUUCAACCACAUUAAAUGACCAGCAUUAUCCGAAGCCCUGAAACAUGAGUUAAUUGUGCUUGCUGGGCUUUGACGCUGGGAGCACUGGGGAAAGGCUGUGCGCAAUUAGGAGCCGGCCUGAUGAAAAGGACUUCGCUCACACCGCAUGCCCAGUUUUUGUCCUCAAAGCAGGGUGCUGGUCUGAGAAAGGGCGAGUCUCAAGGGAGAUGCAUUUAGAAAGAAUUCUGAGGCUGUGUGGUGAUCUUGUUACGGCGACUUUGGGGGUAGAGGGGAGAUUCCCAGGCAGAAUUUAGGUCAGGGCGCUUGUGAGCGGCAGACUCCAACAGAACUCUGUUGUCACAGCCGUGCACAGCGAGCUGCAAGCUCAGCGGUGGAGGAAUAAGAUGUGUCUGUCUAAUAAACUCUUUCUGGUCCAGUG